UACGUAGGGCGCAAGCGUUAUCCGGAAUUACUGGGCGUAAAGCGUGCGCAGGCGGUUUUGUAAGUCUGUCGUGAAAUCCCCGGGCUUAACCUGGGAAUGGCGAUGGAGACUGCAAGGCUAGAGUUUGGCAGAGGGGGGUAGAAUUCCACGUGUAGCAGUGAAAUGCGUAGAGAUGUGGAGGAACACCGAUGGCGAAGGCAGCCCCCUGGGUCAAAACUGACGCUCAUGCACGAAAGCGUGGGGAGCAAACAGG
rnacentral:rRNA from 1 species